rnacentral:rRNA from 1 species
CCUACGGGUGGCAGCAGUGAGGGAUAUUGCACAAUGGUGGGAACCCUGAUGCAGCGACGCCGCGUGGGUGAAGGAGCGUUUCGGCGCGGAAAGCUCUAUCGGUAGGGAAGAAGAUGACGGUACCUGACCAAGAAGCCCCGGCUAACUACGUGCCAGCCGCCGCGGUAAUACGGAGGGGGCAGGCGUUAUCCGGAUUUACUGGGUGUAAAGGGGGCGCAGGCGGCAAGGCAAGCCAGGAGGGAACGGCCGGGGCCCAACCCCGGGACUGCUCUGGGAACUGGAUGGCUGGAGUGCGGGGGGGGCAGGCGGAAGGCGUGGUGUAGCGGUGAAAUGCGUAGAUAUUAGGAGGAACACCGGUGGCGAAGGCAGCCUGCUGGACUGUGACUGACGUUGAGGCCCGAAGGCGUGGGGAGCGAACAGGAUUAGAUACCCUUGUAGUC